GGUUGCGAUCAUACCAGCACUAAUGCACCGGAUCCCAUCAGAACUUCGCAGUGAAGCGUGCUUGGGCGAGAGUAGUACUAGGAUGGGUGACCCCCUGGGAAGUCCUCGUGUUGCAACCC
rnacentral:rRNA from 1 species